rnacentral:tRNA from 1 species
GGAGAGGUGCCAGAGUGGCCGAAUGGGCCGGAUUCGAAAUCCGGUGUACAGCUUGCUGUACCGUGGGUUCGACUCCCACCCUCUCCG